rnacentral:misc_RNA from 1 species
UUAUGUCCUUCAGAGAUCAGACAAAGGUCAAAUCGGUUGCAUAAAGGCGGCGCCGGAGCGCCGAGGCACAGAUUCGCUUCCACAGGUUUGAUGGGUCAAGGGCCCCUCUCGGGGCCCUCCUCGUUAAUGAUCCCUCCGCAGGUUCACCUACGGAGA